GAUGAACGCUGGCGGCGUGCCUAAUACAUGCAAGUCGAGCGAACAGAUAAGGAGCUUGCUCCUUUGACGUUAGCGGCGGACGGGUGAGUAACACGUGGAUAACCUACCUAUAAGACUGGGAUAACUUCGGGAAACCGGAGCUAAUACCGGAUAACAUAUUGAACCGCAUGGUUCAAUAGUGAAAGGCGGCUUUGCUGUCACUUAUAGAUGGAUCCGCGCCGUAUUAGCUAGUUGGUAAGGUAACGGCUGACCAAGGCAACGAUACGUAGCCGACCUGAGAGGGUGAUCAGCCACACUGGAACUGAGACACGGUCCAGACUCCUACGGGAGGCAGCAGUAGGGAAUCUUCCGCAAUGGGCGAAAGCCUGACGGAGCAACGCCGCGUGAGUGAUGAAGGUCUUCGGAUCGUAAAACUCUGUUAUCAGGGAAGAACAAAUGUGUAAGUAACUGUGCACAUCUUGACGGUACCUGAUCAGAAAGCCACGGCUAACUACGUG
rnacentral:rRNA from 1 species